rnacentral:rRNA from 1 species
GGCAUGGCGGCAGCUACACAUGCAAGUCGAGCGGUAACAGAUCCAGCUUGCUGGAUGCUGACGAGCGGCGGACGGGUGAGUAAUGCAUAGGAAUCUGCCCGAUAGUGGGGGAUAACCUGGGGAAACCCAGGCUAAUACCGCAUACGUCCUACGGGAGAAAGGGGGCUUCGGCUCCCGCUAUCGGAUGAGCCUAUGUCGGAUUAGCUAGUUGGUGAGGUAACGGCUCACCAAGGCCACGAUCCGUAGCUGGUCUGAGAGGAUGAUCAGCCACAUCGGGACUGAGACACGGCCCGAACUCCUACGGGAGGCAGCAGUGGGGAAUAUUGGACAAUGGGGGGAACCCUGAUCCAGCCAUGCCGCGUGUGUGAAGAAGGCCCUCGGGUUGUAAAGCACUUUCAGCGAGGAAGAACGCCUAGCGGUUAAUACCCGCUAGGAAAGACAUCACUCGCAGAAGAAGCACCGGCUAACUCCGUGCCAGCAGCCGCGGUAAUACGGAGGGUGCAAGCGUUAAUCGGAAUUACUGGGCGUAAAGCGCGCGUAGGUGGCUUGAUAAGCCGGUUGUGAAAGCCCCGGGCUCAACCUGGGAACGGCAUCCGGAACUGUCAAGCUAGAGUGCAGGAGAGGAAGGUAGAAUUCCCGGUGUAGCGGUGAAAUGCGUAGAGAUCGGGAGGAAUACCAGUGGCGAAGGCGGCCUUCUGGACUGACACUGACACUGAGGUGCGAAAGCGUGGGUAGCAAACAGGAUUAGUCCU